rnacentral:rRNA from 1 species
GCCUCUUGCUUCCUUAAAAAGAAUUGUCUAUCUCAUCAGGUAUUAUAAAGUUGAACGCCUGGUUAGUACUUGGAUGGGAGACCGCCUGGCAAUACCGGGUGCUGUAGGCU